rnacentral:rRNA from 1 species
UGGGGAAUUUUGGACAAUGGGCGCAAGCCUGAUCCAGCAAUGCCGCGUGCAGGAUGAAGCAUCUAUGGUGUGUAAACUGCUUUUGUACGGGAAGAAACCACCCCUCGUGAGGGGUAUUGACGGUACCGUAAGAAUAAGGAUCGGCUAACUCCGUGCCAGCAGCCGCGGUAAUACGGAGGAUCCAAGCGUUAUCCGGAAUCAUUGGGUUUAAAGGGUCCGUAGGCGGGUCUGUAAGUCAGUGGUGAAAUCUCCCCGCUCAACGGGGAAACUGCCAUUGAUACUGCGGGUCUUGAAUUAUUGGGAAGUAACUAGAAUAUGUAGUGUAGCGGUGAAAUGCUUAGAGAUUACAUGGAAUACCGAUUGCGAAGGCAGGUUACUACCAAUGGAUUGACGCUGAUGGACGAAAGCGUGGAUAGCGAACA